UACGAAGGGGGCGAGCGUUGUUCGGAAUUACUGGGCGUAAAGGGCGCGUAGGCGGCGACCGCAAGUCAGUUGUGAAAUCUCUGGGCUUAACCCAGAAAGGUCAACUGAUACUGCGGGGCUAGAGUGCAGAAGGGGCAACUGGAAUUCUCGGUGUAGCGGUGAAAUGCGUAGAUAUCGAGAGGAACACCUGCGGCGAAGGCGGGUCUCUGGGCCGAUACUGACGCUGAGGAGCGAAAGCGUGGGGAGCGAACAGG
rnacentral:rRNA from 1 species